rnacentral:lncRNA from 1 species
UGGAUAAAUUACUGCGCACAUGCUGAGGGAAAAGGCAGAUUGAUAGACAGGGGUGGCUAAAAAGCAACCCUGCGAUCCGGUUCCCAGCAAAUCUGCCACUCAAGUUUCUCAUCUCAUCAGGGAUGGGAAGGAACAGAAGGCUCCACUGCGGUGCUGGCUGUGGGCUUAUACGUUGCCGAUCCCUGGGGACUGGACCUAGUGCUAUUCUGCAGAAGGUAAUUGAAGAAACCCUACUAGGAAUGAAGAAACCCAAGUGAAGGAGGGUGACAGAUGGAAAGGAAUGCUUCUAAGCAGUUUUCGUGCAGGGUUGUGAAAAUGAAGCGUCUAUAGAGGAAAAGGACAUGUUUCACAGGCUCAAGGAUUUGAGUUUAAGCUUCAAUAAAGAUGAGAAACAGAGUAGGAAUUUCCCUAGCAGUUCUUUGUACGGAAAUUAGCGUGAAGAUCUGAAGGGCUUCGGUACUGACAGCAACUUCCAAACUGCUUCAAGCCGCUCACCAUCAAAAUGAGAAAGGUAUCGUCACAGAUAAAUGGCUCUGGCAUUAAUCUUCCUAGAAAAAGAAAGUCACAGCAUAAACCAGCCCAUGCUGAUGGCAGCCAACUUGGAAAAUGUUUAACCCUUUAGAAGAAAAAAUAAAGAAGCACAGCCGUUCAUGCUACCCUGAGAUUCUGCCUAGGAUGUCAUGCUUCAUCAAGACAGUUCAGCUUCCCAAGUCGUAGAUAAAAGACAUUCCAUGAAUUUAGGAUGCUCUUUGUCACCCCUGGUGUUAAAGGGAGUCACCAGGUCACAGGAGCAAUGUGAGCAUGAAACGGGAGGAGGAAAAGACAUGACAACAGCUGGGAAGAGGAUGUGAAACAGGCCCAUCAAGAAUGACGGGGUGAGUGCUCAGAAAGGGCCUUUCCAGGAGAAGUUUCUGGAGAAGAGAGGGAAAAGUGCAGAAAAGCAAGAUUCACAAAAUAUUACAGUGCCAGUCACAGACACGCAGAUAAAGGAUGAAGGUGAGUAUGCAUUUGUAACAUAUACCCGAAUCAACAAGCUGAACUUCUACAUAAAACAUAAGCUACCAGGAGGCUUUGGGCGAGGCCAUUCGAUAUCUUA